CCCAGACUCCUACGGGAGGCAGCAGUGGGGAAUAUUGCACAAUGGGGGAAACCCUGAUGCAGCAACGCCGCGUGAGUGAAGAAGUAUUUCGGUAUGUAAAGCUCUAUCAGCAGGGAAGAAGAAAGACGGUACCUGACUAAGAAGCCCCGGCUAACUACGUGCCAGCAGCCGCGGUAAUACGUAGGGGGCAAGCGUUAUCCGGAUUUACUGGGUGUAAAGGGAGCGUAGACGGCUGUGCAAGUCUGAAGUGAAAGCCCGUGGCUCAACCCCGGGACUGCCUUGGAAACUGUGUUGCUGGAGUGCUGGAGAGGCAAGCGGAAUUCCUAGUGUAGCGGUGAAAUGCGUAGAUAUUAGGAAGAACACCAGUGGCGAAGGCGGCUUGCUGGACAGUAACUGACGUUGAGGCUCGAAAGCGUGGGGAGCAAACAGGAUUAGAUACCCGAGUAAA
rnacentral:rRNA from 1 species